rnacentral:rRNA from 1 species
UGGGGAAUAUUGGACAAUGGGCGCAAGCCUGAUCCAGCCAUGCCGCGUGUGUGAAGAAGGCCUUUUGGUUGUAAAGCACUUUAAGCGAGGAGGAGGCUACUUGGAUUAAUACUCUAGGAUAGUGGACGUUACUCGCAGAAUAAGCACCGGCUAACUCUGUGCCAGCAGCCGCGGUAAUACAGAGGGUGCGAGCGUUAAUCGGAUUUACUGGGCGUAAAGCGUGCGUAGGCGGCUUCUUAAGUCGGAUGUGAAAUCCCUGAGCUUAACUUAGGAAUUGCAUUCGAUACUGGGAAGCUAGAGUAUGAGAGAGGAUGGUAGAAUUCCAGGUGUAGCGGUGAAAUGCGUAGAGAUCUGGAGGAAUACCGAUGGCGAAGGCAGCCAUCUGGCCUAAUACUGACGCUGAGGUACGAAAGCAUGGGGAGCAAACAGG